AUACUUACAAAGCAGAGGAGAAAUCAUAACCUCAAAGGUGGUUUCUGCAGGACGAAGCUUACCCAUUAUACUCCAGAUCUGCUGACCCCUGCAAUGUCCCCAAAUGUGGGAAACUCAAUUGCAUUAGUGGUUGUGGGGGAUUUCAUUCACGUUUUCACCUU